GCUGGGCAUAGUGGCACAUGCCUGUAAUCCCAGCAACUUGGGAUGCUGAGACAGGAGGAUCUAAAAUUCAAGACUAGCUUUGGCAACUUAUUGAGACCUUGUUUCAA
rnacentral:sRNA from 1 species